rnacentral:rRNA from 1 species
AUGUCGUCGUCGUCGAUUGGUUCCGCCUGUUCAUGCGGCGGAGCGAUUCGACGGAGAGGCGCUGCAGCGAGGUCGCCGGUGCCGUAUCGUGAGCAGCCGAUGGAGUACGAGCCAGCUGUUUUCUGCGGCCGCUGCGGGAGGAAGGCGCCACGGUGGAUAUCAUGGAGUGUGGCGAACCCUGGACGAUGAUAUUAUUCAUGCGUCGAAGCUCAGGUAUGCUCUGUUCUUGUCUGUGCUCUGUCCUCCUAUGCUCUGCUCAAUUUCUCUGUCUUAUGA